CCUACGGGAGGCAGCAGUGGGGAAUAUUGCACAAUGGGGGAAACCCUGAUGCAGCGACGCCGCGUGAGCGAUGAAGUAUUUCGGUAUGUAAAGCUCUAUCAGCAGGGAAGAAAAUGACGGUACCUGACUAAGAAGCCCCGGCUAACUACGUGCCAGCAGCCGCGGUAAGACGUAGGGGGCAAGCGUUAUCCGGAUUUACUGGGUGGAAAGGGAGCGUAGACGGUCCUGCCAGCCAGAUGUGAAAGCCCGGGGCUCAAACCCGGGACUGCAUUUGGAACUGUAAGGCUAGAGUGUCGGAGAGGCAGGCGGAAUGCCUAGUGUAGCGGUGAAAUGCGGAGAUAUUAGAAGGAACACCAGUGGCGAAGGCGGCCUGCUGGACGAUGACUGACGUUGAGGCUCGAAAGCGUGGGGAGCAAACAGGAUUAGAUACCCCGGUAGUC
rnacentral:rRNA from 1 species